rnacentral:lncRNA from 1 species
AUUUCGACCCAUCUAAUGAUGAAAGAGGUCUCUGAUGUUGCCAAGUGUCCCGUGGUACCAUUAAAUAAAUUAAAUUAAUUUUUAAUCAUAUUAAAAAUCAAUUUAUGGCGCCAUGCAUGGAUAUGUGAUAAGUGGAUUUCAAGAUCCGAACAGUUUCAGAUCAAACCCAUUUAAUUUAAUUAAAUCCUAACAAUUAGAAUGAUCCAAUUACCAUAGGUUGAACCUAAUCCAAUAGGUCAAUCUCUAAUUAAACAUAAAUUUAAUCUAAUUUAAUUUGGUCAACCUAAGUCCUCUUGAUUCAGACUUAAUCCAAUCAGGUCAAAAACCCUGAUUGAGCCCAGAAUUGAAUCUAAUCAAUUUGGCUCAUCCUUAGUCUAAUUACUCAAUCCAAUUGAGUUCAUUAGCAAUCUAAUUACUAAUUAAUCCUCCGAUAAUUACUUUAAUUAUUUUAUAAGAUGAUUUGCCAAUCGAAUUGACCAAAUUAUCCCUGAAUGAUUAUUAAUCAUUCAUCAGCCUUCUUGAUCAAUCAGGAAUCUUCUAUGCGUGUGACCUCAUAGGUUCGAACCUAAGCCGGUAGUAUAGGAACGACUUCCUACACUAAUCGAUGUGACCAUCUAGCAAUGGUACCCGACGUCCAGAUAGGCCGAAUAUAUGCGAAGCAAAUAUUCUGGAAUCCUGAACUAUGGUUACUGUAUAAUUAAUCCCUUUGACUCCUAAUGCCAGGAUGACUUAGAGCUCACUGUCAACCCCAUAAUUAGUACAUCCAUUAUGUGAUUAACUUUAGAUAUCCUGGCCAAGGUUUUGCUAAAUUAAUCACAAGACAUUAUCUCCUGUUUUCAUGAGGGGUCAAUUCCAUCUCGACUCACAACUGACUAUGCAAGUACUUGACUGCACCCAGUGACCUUCCGUCACUGAAUUAGAAAUCCAGGUAGUCCGGUACCAAAGUACAAUGAGUUGCUUGCUAGUCACAGGUUGCGGUCUCAGGUUAAAGGGCCAAACAUAUACCCAUAUCCACUCGGAACAUCUCUUGAUAGUAGAGCGUUCCUGAAUUGGUCAUGUUCAGUGAAAUGUACUCCUACACUUCACGUGUGUGGCAUACCAGUGUCUCCACACUCCUUGGUUAAGAGGACAACCAACGUAUUGUUGGGAACCCGCCCAUGCCGCUGAUANN